rnacentral:tRNA from 1 species
GUCGGGAUAGCUCAGUUGGAAGAGCGGAGGACUGAAAAUCCUCGUGUCAC